UAGGGAAUCUUCGGCAAUGGGGGGAACCCUGACCGAGCAACGCCGCGUGAGUGAAGAAGGUUUUCGGAUCGUAAAGCUCUGUUGUUAAGGAAGAACGAGUGUGAGAAUGGAAAGUUCAUACUGUGACGGUACUUAACCAGAAAGGGACGGCUAACUACGUGCCAGCAGCCGCGGUAAUACGUAGGUCCCGAGCGUUGUCCGGAUUUAUUGGGCGUAAAGCGAGCGCAGGCGGUUAGAUAAGUCUGAAGUUAAAGGCAGUGGCUCAACCAUUGUAGGCUUUGGAAACUGUUUAACUUGUGUGCAAAAGGGGAGGGUGGAAUUCCAUGUGUAGCGGUGAAAUGCGUAGAUAUAUGGAGGAACACCGGUGGCGAAAGCGGCUCUCUGGUCUGUAACUGACGCGGAGGCUCGAAAGCGUGGGGAGCGAACAGG
rnacentral:rRNA from 1 species